UACGGGGGGGGCAAGCGUUGUUCGGAAUUACUGGGCGUAAAGGGCUCGUAGGCGGCCAACUAAGUCAGACGUGAAAUCCCUCGGCUUAACCGGGGGAACUGCGUCUGAUACUGGAUGGCUUGAGUUUGGGAGAGGGAUGCGGAAUUCCAGGUGUAGCGGUGAAAUGCGUAGAUAUCUGGAGGAACACCGGUGGCGAAGGCGGCAUCCUGGACCAACAGUGACGCUGAGGAGCGAAAGCCAGGGGGAGCAAAC
rnacentral:rRNA from 1 species